GAGUGUGGCUUCUGCUCUCAGACUGCCAGGGUUCAAAUGCUGACUGCCACCGAUUUGCUGUGUGAUUUUGGGAAAGUCAACUAACCACUCUGUGCUUCAGUUGGUGAAAAUAGCACCCCCCCAUAAGGUUAAGAAGAUGGAGUGAAUGCCUGAAAAGUACGUGGAGUAUGGCCUGCCACAGAGGAAAAUUUGGAAAAUACAGAAAAGCAUAAAAAGGGAGAUAAAAUUCAGCCAUAAUGCCAUCACUCAGCAAUAACCGUGGUCAUUCCGGACUCCUAACGCCGCCAGUCCCUUGGUGAGACAUGAGCGCCAUUGGCGUCCGUGGCCUGUGUUUCCGUGGCAACCCAGUAACCAUUAAUUUUCAAU